UUUCAGAGGCCGACAGGGGUGGGCUGACAUCUGAGCCAGCCUUUAAUGGGUCAGGAGGGCCUGACUCAUCAGAGGUUGGGAAGGCCUCCGGGCAGAGAAGCAACGUGAACUGGCUGGACAUCUCUGAGGAGCAGAAAGACGCCGAGAAGGCUCAAGUAGCCAGUGGGCAGAUCCAGGAAAGAACAGUUGCCCGGCAGUUAGAGCCAGAACAGAAAAAGUCUUCAUGGUACAACGAGCACAUUCUAAUUUGAAAUGAAGAAGGCGACCUUUAACUCCAGACAUUCGAUUAUCACCUCACACAUUCACGCAUGCUGAGAACUCCAAGUAUGAUAGAACAGAUGGCUCGUCUGCACUCCAGCUUCGGCUCAGACCGAGAAGUGGCAUUAUGGCUGCAUGGCGUGGCGCAGAGGACAGCACGCACGGAGGGCGAAAGGAGGGAGCAGACCACCCAGCAGACCUUCCUAUGUGAAUAACUCCCAGCGGCACCUCUUUAUUUCAUCUGAAUUAUUCUCCACUUCCAGACUCUGAGACUCAUCCAUAUUCGACUGCACCUCAAACAGUCAUUUCAAAGCUAAAGAGAUUCAUCGGGACCAAAGUCAGUAACCGGCUGGGCCUCCACCCUGGAGCUCUGCUUCCUUUUGAGCAUGCUGAAGUUAGCUUUGGUGAGCAAGUACGAAAGUGCAGUCUGGAAGAAGAAAGACAGUUCUAAUGCUGGGACUGCGCCAGUUCUUCCAGUUACUUUGAAGUAAAUCCAAAUCAAACCAGAGGGAGAUGCGAUGCCCGCUUGCCAUGUACAUUUCCACAAUUCCG